UACGUAGGGCGCGAGCGUUAUCCGGAAUUAUUGGGCGUAAAGAGCUCGUAGGCGGUAUGUCACGUCUGCUGUGAAAACUGGAGGCUCAACCUCCAGCCUGCAGUGGGUACGGGCAAACUAGAGUGCGGUAGGGGAGAUUGGAAUUCCUGGUGUAGCGGUGGAAUGCGCAGAUAUCAGGAGGAACACCGAUGGCGAAGGCAGAUCUCUGGGCCGUAACUGACGCUGAGGUGCGAAAGCGUGGGGAGCAAACAGG
rnacentral:rRNA from 1 species